rnacentral:tRNA from 1 species
GGGGCUGUAGCACAGUUGGGAGAGCGCUUGCAUGGCAUGCAAGAGGUCGCGGGUUCGACUCCCGCCAGCUCCACAA